CCCUUAGAUGUUCUGGGCCGCACGCGCGCUACACUGACGAAGUCAGCGAGCAUGUCCUACGCCGACGGGUGCGGGGAAUCUUGUCAAACUUCGUCGUGAUGGGGAUUGAUUAUUGAAAUUCUUGAUCAUCAACGAGGAAUUCCUAGUAAGCGCAAGUCAGCAGCUUGCGUUGAUUACGUCCCUGCCCUUUGUACACACCGCCCGUCGCUACUACCGAUUGAAUGGUUUAGUGAGAUCUUCGGAUUGGCGCCACUGCGGCUCAGCAAUGGGCUCGGUGGAUGCCGAAAAGUUGAUCAAACUUGAUCAUUUAGAGGAAGUAAAAGUCGUAACA
rnacentral:rRNA from 1 species